GUCGAGCGGGCCCUUCGGGGUCAGCGGCAGACGGGUGAGUAACGCGUGGGAACGUGCCCUUCGGUUCGGAAUAACUCAGGGAAACUUGAGCUAAUACCGGAUACGCCCUUUUGGGGAAAGGUUUAUCUGCCGAAGGAUCGGCCCGCGUCUGAUUAGCUAGUUGGUGAGGUUAUGGCUCACCAAGGCGACGAUCAGUAGCUGGUCUGAGAGGAUGAUCAGCCACACUGGGACUGAGACACGGCCCAGACUCCUACGGGAGGCAGCAGUGGGGAAUAUUGGACAAUGGGGGCAACCCUGAUCCAGCCAUGCCGCGUGAGUGAUGACGGCCUUAGGGUUGUAAAGCUCUUUUCUCCGGGACGAUAAUGACGGUACCGGAGGAAUAAGCCCCGGCUAACUUCGUGCCAGCAGCCGCGGUAAUACGAAGGGGGCUAGCGUUGCUCGGAAUCACUGGGCGUAAAGGGCGCGUAGGCGGCUGAUUUAGUCGAGGGUGAAAGCCCGUGGCUCAACCACGGAAUGGCCUUCUAUACUGGUUGGCUUGAUACCGGAAGAGGACAGCGGAACUGCGAGUGUAGAGGUGAAAUUCGUAGAUAUUCGCAAGAACACCAGUGGCGAAGGCGGCUGUCUGGUCCGGUUCUGACGCUGAGGC
rnacentral:rRNA from 1 species